ensembl:lncRNA novel transcript
GACUUCCUGGCGCUUUGCCCUUUGGGGAGCGGAGCCAAGGAACAGCGCCAACCUCUCUCCACAAGCCAGGGACCCUACGACCCACCGCCGCAGGUGAGCUCCGCCCGGGCGCCCCCUCCCCCACCACGCCUGGAUCCCUGCCGGGCUCCCCGAGCCGAGACUGUGCCUUCUGCAACAGGGCUGUGCUCCAGGUGGGAGAAACAUCCUUUGCUCCCUGCUUUGGGGUCCCUGGGCUCCUUGUAGGGUCUAGUAAUGGUAAAACUUCUUACUCUGGCUGGAAAGGUAAAAUUUUUCAGAUCCCCUAUGCUUCAGCUCAAAAAGCAGAGCUUAUAGCUGUAAUUGAGGUAUUGGCUGCUUUUACUAUGCCUAUUAAUGUGAUUUCUGAUUCUUCAUACGUGGUUCAUUCCACACAAUUAAUUGAAAAUGCUCAGUUACGAUUUCAUACAGAUGAACAACUGAUGACUUUAUUUACCCAAUUGCAAAUAGCAGUUAGGAGUAGAAUGCACCCUUUUUAUAUCACUCACAUUAGGGCUCAUUCACCUCUUCCAGGACCUUUAACUGGAGGGAAUCAAAUGGCUGAUCGCCUAGUUGCUACUGCAAUAUCUAAUGCUAGACACUUUCACAAUUUAACCCAUGUUAAUGCCUCUGGUCUCAAACGCAGAUACAGCAUUACCUGGAAAGAAGCUAAAGCUAUUACCGAGUGAUGCCCAAUUUGCCAAAUGGUGCAUUCCUCAUCUUUUACAGGAGGAGUUAAUUCUCAAGGAUUGGAACCUAAUUCUCUUUAGCAAAUGGAUGUCACACAUGUUCCCUCGUUUGGGAGUCUAGCUUAUGUACAUGUAUGUGUGGACACCUUUUCCCACUUUGGGCUACAUGCCAAUCAGGAGAGUCUUCUGCCUGUGUUGAAUGUCACCUUUUGCAAUGUUUUGAGGUGAUGGGCAUUCCAGCCUCUAUUAAAACAGAUAAUGCCCCAGGCUGUACUAGCCAAGCUCUAGCUACAUUUUUCUCUAUGUGGAAUAUUAAACACAUUGCUGGUAUCCCAUAUAAUUCUCAAGGACAAGCCAUAGUAGAAAGAAUGAAUCUGUCCCUGAAACAGCAGUAGCAAAAACAAAGGGGGCGGGGGGAAACAGGGACUAUGGGACACUGCAUAUACAAUUGAAUCUAGCAUUAUUGACUUUAAAUUUUUUGAGCCUGCCUAAGGGCCAGAUGCUAUCAGCAGCUGAACAGCAUCUACAGAAACCAGCUGCAAAGACAGAAGCAGAACAACUGGUUUGGUGGAGAGAUCUGAUAACAAAAAGUUGGGAAAUAGGUAAAAUAAUAACUUGGGGUAGAGAUUAUGCUUGUGUUUCUCCAGGCCAGAACCAGCAGCUGAUUUAGAUACCAUCAAGACACCUAAAACCUUAUCAUGAGCCAGAUGCUGUGGAAGAGAUUCUGGGAGAAUCCUGAGGACCCCCCAGUUGCAGCCAUGUCAAGACUGAUGCUGAGGAGGACCCCAACUGUCACGAGCAACACCCGUCGAACACAGCCACCUACUUGGGGAAAGAUCAAGAAGCUGUCACAGAUGGUGGAAGAAAACCUGAGGAAAGCGGGACAACCAGUCACAAUGAGUAAUUUAAUGAUAGCUAUGAGAGCGGUGAUCACCAUUGCUGUGAGUAUUCCUUCAGCAAGCGCUGACACAGAGAACAAUUAUACUUAUUGGGCAUAUCUAUCAAUCUUGGCUGGCAAUAAUGCCUGGAUGUAAUCACUCUAUGACCCAGUUACACAUGCUUUCUGAUCUCAGUAUUUGCCAUAAUGAAUCUGCUCCUAUAAUUAAGGCAUACCACCCUCAAAAACCUAUUUGUAAACAGAAUUGAACCUGGCCAGAAAAAAUGAAUGUACUUGUUUGGGAAGAUUGCAUUGCAGAACAGGCAGAGGUGCUGCGCAAUGAUUCCUAUGGAAUCAUUAUUGAUCGGUCUCCUAAGGGGAUGUUUAGCUUGAAUUGUACCUCUGAGUAUGUGUGCCAUGGCCACACUAUGUUCAGCUGGUCAGAAGAAAACAGUCAGAUGGUAGAAAUGGUAAGAAGUAUGGCAAGAGUUCUUAUUAUCUGGAAACAUGGCGGUAUAGUGGCACCUCAACCUCAAAUGAUAUGACCCGCCGUAGGAGAUUAACAAAAGGAUUUGUGGAAACUAUUAAUGGCUCUUAAUAAGAUCAAAAUUUGGGAACGAAUAAAAAACCAUCUAGAAGGACACUAUACAAACUGGUUUUUGGAUAUUGCAAAGUUAAAAGAACAAAUAUUUAAAGCAUCCCAGGCACAUCUGACCUUAAUACCAGGAACUGGAGUGCUUGAAGGAGCUGCAGACGGAUUAGCAGCCAGUAACCCAUUAAAAUGGAUGAAAACACUUGGAAGCUCUGUGAUUUCAAUGAUGAUUGUGUUAUUAAUCUGUGUUGUUUGUCUUUGUGUAGUCUGCAGAUGCAGAUCCUGACUCCUGCGAGAAGUAGCUCACCGUGAUAAAGCUGCCUUUGCUUUUAUUGCCCUGCAAAAACAAGAAGGGGGAUAUGCUGGGGAAUAGGCCCCCAAAUCUGGACAUAAACUGGCCCCAAAACUGGCCAUAAACAAAAUCUCUGCAGCGCUGUGACAUGUUCAUGGUGGCCAUAACGCCCAUGCUGGAAGGCUGUGGUUUACCGGAAUGAGAGCGAGGAACACCUGGCCUAUCCAGGGCGGAAAACCACUUAUAGGUAUUCCUAAACCACAAACAACCUAUGCCUUAAGGACAUGUUCCUGCUGCAGAUAACUAGCCAGAGCCCAUCCCUUUGUUUCGGCCCAUCCUUUUGUUUCCUGUAAGGAGUGCUUUUAGUUAAUCUAUAAUCUAUAGAAACAAUACUUAUCACUGGCUUGCUGUCAAUAAAUAUGUGGGUAAAUCUCUGCUCAUGGCUCUCAGCUCUGAAGGCUGUGAGUCCCCUGAUUUCCCACUCCACAUGCUA